UUAGUAAUAAAUAUAUAUUUAACGUAAUUUAUUUUUAUACGUUCUAAAUAUUUCAACGAUUUAUGAAAUCAAAAAAAUAAUUUUAGAAUUUUAUGUUGAAAAGAAUUUGAAUUGCGAAAACACGUUCGAUUGAAUUUGGAAAACAAUAUUAACUGGUUUUGGAUUCAAACAAACUCAAUUCUAAUCCUAGCCCAAAUUGACAAAGCCCAAAACAAGAAAACCCAUAUUAUCAACCCAUAAUUCAACUUCACGUAAAAUCAAGAAAGCCAAAAACCCUCUUCUCUCCUCUCCUCCAAUUCACGUGAAAAGCAAGCAAACUCUCUCUCUGCUUCAGCCACCGCCGCCCUCCUUGCUGUUGUCCCUCACGCCGCCGGCCAACCACCUCAGACGCUCCUCCUCCGUCGCGUGCAACCUUCCUCGCCGCCACCUGCACCCCGUCGCUGCCGCCAACCAACCAGCACCGGUCGUUGGCCCCUUCCCUUCUCCUUCGCGAAGCAUCAACACUCCUCCUUUUCUUUCUCCUCUGCGUGCGUUUCCUCCUGCUUGCACCACCAGCCACCUUCGGUCACCCUGCUGCGCCACCACCCAUCGCCGCGCUGCCACUGUGGCAUCGCCGUGCUGCUGCACCAACCGCCGUCAGCUCUUCCUCCCUUCACUUUUUGGCGGAGAAUUCUCUUUAGGCGACUUUUGAAAGUGUUAAAGUGGCCUAUUAGUUGUUUAUGCAAGUCUCUAAGGAUCAAUAAGCGUUGCCCAUCUACAGGUUUGAAGAUGAUGCACCAUUGGGAUCGGGAUUAGAGAGCUUGUUGUUCUAUUUGUUUACUUGAGUGAUUUAAUUUGUUAACUUGGAUUUGAAAUUUGUCGUACUAUUCGUAUUUCCUUAUUUCAGUUAAUUGGUUUGGACCUAAUAUGUAAUAGAUUAUUUAUGAACCUAAAAGUUAGUUUUAUGUUUUCCGCUGCAAAAUUCUGAAUAAGCCGUUACGUUUUUACA